GGAUGAUCUAGUUUGUUUGGU
rnacentral:piRNA from 1 species